rnacentral:lncRNA from 1 species
CUGCUGAUAAGAUAUUCUUGGAUUUUGCAUAUAUAUUUAGAUCCCUGCUGAUAAGGUAUUUUUGGAUUUUGCAUAUAUAUUUAGAUCCCUGCUGAUAAGGUAUUCUUGGAUUGUGCUAUAUUUAGAUUCUUGCUGAUUGCUAUCUCUGCUGAUAAGGUAUUCUUGGAUUUUUAGAUCCCUGCGGAUAAGGUAUUCUUGGAUUGUGCUAUAUUUAGAUUCUUGCUGAUUGCUAAAUAUAUUCCUACUGAUACUCCCCCUCAAAUUGAUGCUGGAGAAUCUUGCAGCAUCAAUUUGCUACUGAUAAACUUAUGUCGAUCAAAGGAGAAAGCCUUCGUGAAAAUAUCAGC